UCUGAGUUAGAGUACACUUUUUUAAGUGAUAUCCUCGUCAUUCAUCAUCUCUAGUGUCAUGAAAAACCAUAGUACCAAACUACUACUUGGGAGCCAAACUUAGGAUCUGACUUAAAACCAAAUUGGAACCAUUAUUGGGUUCUGUUCUGUUCUGUGCUUGUUGGGUUUCCUAACACUCUUUUGUGUGCCUAACACAUUUGGUUCUCACUUUUUCUCAGAUGGGGUUCUCUUGUUUGAGUGGUUUUUAGGUGGACUUUGUUGUUUACUACUAUGGAUUUCUAUGUGUGUGUGUGUGUGUCUUUCUCUUAUUGUUUGGAUAUGAGGGUCUUUUAAUAAUGAAGGUGUUUUUAUUGGUUUUCUUUUGGGAAAGGUUUAUGAUUUGGCCCAGUUGUUGAUUCUGCUUCUGGCUGGUGUUUUAAAAAGGCAAGAAUUAUUAUGGCGGGCGAGGUUGAGGAAUCAUUCAGCAUGAACUUUCAGGUAGAUUCUAUACAUUCCGGUUCUAUCUCAUUUGGGAGAUUUGAGAAUGAGACUUUAUCUUGGGAAAGAAGGUCCUCUUUCUCUCACAAUAGGUACUUGGAGGAGGUUGAGAAAUGUUCAAAACCAGGUUCAGUUAUUGAGAAGAAGGCAUAUUUUGAAGCUCAUUUCAAGAAGAAGGGCAUAUUUGGUUUUAUUCCAUCUACAGGUCAUGAGGGAUCAUCAGUUAGAGCAAUCAGUGAAAAUGAUGGCUCAGAGAGAAUUGGCAAGCAAGAGGAUUUUGAGUCCAAUGAUGGCCAUUAUGUUCAAUUUGAUGAAAUGUCCCAAAAGGAUUUUGAGCUAGAUGAAGGUGACCAUUAUAUUGAAAUGGACCAAAGUUCCCAAGAGGACUUUGUGACAAUUGAAGAUGAUCAUUAUGUUCAAUUUGGUGAAAUUCCUGCUAAUUCAAAUUAUCAUGGAGAAUGUGGUAUGGAUGAAUAUGAAAGAGAAGAGACCGUCACAGAAUCUCUGAUGGAUUCAUUUUCAGGUCUGCAGCAGAUGGAAUCUGCUGCAAACGAUUCUAAUGAUUUUGAGGAUCCUGGUAAGAUAAGUAUUACUUUGGAUAAAGCUCAUCAUCAAUCUGAAAAUGAAACAAGUAAUAUUCUCUUAGAUGAUGACAAGGUGAUUAUAGAAGUGAAAAAGAAUGAUGAUGUUACAGUAAAUACUGAUGAAUCGUCAACAAACAUGAUUAUGCCUGUGAAUGAACCUGCACAGGGUGUUGAGGAAACAAUUUCGCAUGAUCCUGCAAAUCCUUCUACUAAGGAAAGAAAGAUCAAGCCUCAACGGAAUUCUGAAGUCAACAAUGUUCAAGUUCGGAAAAGCACCCCUCCUAGAUCAGUUAAGGAUCCUGCUAGGAUUCCCAGAGGAGAGAGUCCAAGGAGAACAAAUAUGGAAAAGAAUUCAUCAAAACUUGCAACACCAACUACUUGUUUAGCUAGCAAAACUACCAAAGAGGUUUCUAAAAGUGCAGAGAAACUUGUUCGUGAAAGCAAAAGUGAAAAUGCAUCAAAAGUAAGAAAGGGUGCAGAAUCCCAACUUUCUGCUUCAAAAACAGCUUCGAGAGGAAUUCAAGAAGCAGAGAGGAUGAACCAAGCUUUCAAUUCUACAAAUUCCAAUGUUAAGCCUAGGGCUGCGGCUUUCAACUUCAAAUGUAGCGAGCGAGCGGAAAGACGGAAACAGUUCUACAUGAAGCUGGAAGAAAAAAUGUAUGCAAAGGAAGCAGAGAUUAAUCAAAUGCAAGCAAUGUCACAGGAAAAGACAGAAGCUGAUAUUAAAAAACUCCGGAAGAGUCUCAACUUUAAAGCAACACCAAUGCCUUCAUUUUACUGCACACCUUCACCGUCACAACCACAUGGGAAUAAGUUUCAACCUCAGGCUGUGUCAAAUAACACCAGAAGUAAGAAAGAACAUAAUAAACCAAAAUGUCCAGGGAGUGGAGCUGAUGCAGCAUUUCCUUCGAGAUCGAAGGUGGGAAAUGAUCUAGAAACCGAUGAAUCCGUAACAGCGAGAGAACCACAUGGUAUCUCAGUCAAAGAGUGUGCCAAAAAUAAAGCAUCCAAAGCUAGUUUGAUUUCUCCAGCUCCAUCAACCAACAAUAGCUGCCUUGCAGAUUCUACAACAAGUAGUCAUACUUCUGGAAAGAAAGAAGGAGCAAAGGUUUCUUUGCAAAAACAUAGGGUAACUGAUAGUUGUAAAGGAGCAAAACAGCAAAGCAAUGAAAGAAAUAAAAAUGGCGAAACCGCAAAACAUAGAAAUGAUAUAAUGCGGAAAGGUGUGGGGAAUGUUGGUUUGAGAAGCAGUUCUAAAAGUGGUAAUCUUGCUGUACGUGUUGCCUCCUGAAGAAUUUACCCACUUCCACUUUACAAAUUGAGGAGGCAUUUCAGGUUCCAGCAUAAAAUGCUGUGGAAUGAAUACCGCCACUACACAGAUAUUAAGGCAUAUUGCACAUUGAGGUAGUAGCAUUUCUUGUAUUUUUUUCAUGAUAUUCAUUUCAUGGUAUAGCUGAGGCAAGUUAUAGUACAACAUGAUCCAUGUUACUACUUCUAAGUUUGGUAGAAGUUUUGUAUGCAGCAAACAUAGGCAUAACUAGUAAUUGGCAUGUUUUUACUGGAGUUGUUGGAUCUUGUGGGCUCCCCUCCUUAAGGAAGUGUGUUCAUUUGCUCAUCAGAAAAGAAAAGAAAAGAAAUGGAAUUUAUGGAAAUUUUUAUAUGUAUAUAAGUAAUCUUAAAAUUUAUCAUGAUCUGCUGGAGUAGUAUUAUAGAUUUAUCUUCCUUCUAUAUCAUACCUUUAUAUCAUGAACUCACAAAUUUCAGUUGAUGCAAAUUUUGCGUUGAUUUGAA